AUGCAACGACGAAAACCUUACCCACCUUUGACAUGUACGGAAUCCUUUAGAGAUAGAGGGUGCUCGAAAGAGAGCCGUAACACAGGUGCUGCAUGGCUGUCGUCAGCUCGUGUCGUGAGAUGUUGGGUUAAGUCCCGCAACGAGCGCAACCCUUGUCAUUAGUUGCUACAUUUGGUUGGGCACUCUAAUGAGACUGCCGGUGACAAGCCGGAGGAAGGUGGGGAUGACGUCAAGUCCUCAUGGCCCUUAUAGGUGGGGCUACACACGUCAUACAAUGGCUGGUACAAAGGGUUGCCAACCCGCGAGGGGGAGCUAAUCCCACAAAGCCAGUCGUAGUCCGGAUCGUAGUCUGCAACUCGACUACGUGAAGUCGGAAUCGCUAGUAAUCGUGGAUCAGAAUGUCACGGUGAAUACGUUCCCGGGUCUU
rnacentral:rRNA from 1 species